rnacentral:rRNA from 1 species
CCUACGGGGGGCAGCAGUAGGGAAUCUUUCACAAUGGGCGAAAGCCUGAUGGAGCAACGCCGCGUGCAGGAUGAAGGCCUUCGGGUUGUAAACUGCUUUUAUAAGCGAGAAAUAUGAUGGUAACUUAUGAAUAAGGAUCGGCUAACUACGUGCCAGCAGCCGCGGUCAUACGUAGGAUCCGAGCAUUAUCCGGAGUGACUGGGUGUAAAGAGUUGCGUAGGUGACAUAAUAAGUAGCUAGUGAAAUCUGGUGGCUCAACCAUUCAGACUAUUAGCUAAACUGUUAAGCUCGAGACCGUUAGGGGUAACUGGAAUUUCUAGUGUAGGAGUGAAAUCCGUAGAUAUUAGAAGGAACACCAAUAGCGUAGGCAGGUUGCUGGGACGGUUCUGACACUAAGGCACGAAAGCGUAGGGAGCAAACGGGAUUAGAUACCCCUGUAGUC